CCCACCCCAACACACAAAGAGCGGGAACCUUGUCGGUGUUGUUCACUGCCCCAUCUCUAACACUUCAAACAAUGCCUAGUGCUCAAUAAAUAUUUCAGUGACUGGCCCUUUGUUUUACAGAUGUGAAAAACUAAGACACAGAGCAGUUAAAAGAUCUAAUGACAGAACUCAGAAUGGAACACAGGUCUCCUACUUCUAGACUCAUGUUUUUGAGGAGAUCCGUGGAUCAGCAUCUCUCCUGGUCAGGACCACAGAGGCCUUCCACCCGCUGUGUGAAGCUUCGUUGGAUGCCAGCUUCAAAAGCAAAAGGGUAUGAGUUAAGUCUGGAGAAUGCUGAUUGUUCACUUGUGGUGGAAGUUUGACUAGAAGGAGCCUGGGCAUACACCAACCACAACACAAAGAAAUUUCCCAAAGAGUUCAAGUAACCCCAAAUUCUAUUCAAUGUUCUUCCUUACAAUAAAUAGUUCGUGAUGAGGUUGAUCAGAAUUCAUUAGGUAGUAACACUGUUCUCUUUUCAUGUUACCCUCCUAAUGUGGAAGCAUCAUUUGCAGCCACAGAACGUAAAGUAAUGAGUUGUUUUAC
rnacentral:lncRNA from 1 species